CUGAUGAAAAAAGCAGGGCCUUGUUGCCUUUUGUGAACUAGGCUCUUGUAAGCUUCAGGAAAAUUACUUGUGCAUUGUUAUUGGGUGAACCUCUGGAUUUUAUUGGUGCCUGAAGGUUCAGUAAAUGAUGCUACAUUUUGUAAUCCUCUGUAAGGAUUUUAGUGUUUUGAUGUUUGUUUGGUUUGGUUUUAGGCCGAGUUUUGUAUUCUUAAACCUGAUGAAAAAAAGCAGGUCCUUGUUGCCUUUUGUGAACUUGGUUCUCGUAAGCUUCAGGAAAAUUACUUGUGCAUUGUUCUUGGGUGAAUCUCUGGUUGUUAAUGGUGCCUGAAGGUUCAGUAAAUAAUGCUACAUUUUGUAGUCCUCUGUAAGGAAUUUAGUGUCCUGAUGUUCGUUUGAUUUGGUUUUAGGCCGAGUUUUGUAUUGUUAAACCUGAUGAAAAAAAGCAGGGCCUUGUUGCCUUUUGUGAACUAGGUUCUCGUAAGCUUCAGGAAAAUUACUUGUGCAUUGUUCUUGGGUGAAUGUCUGGUUGUUAAUGGUGCCUUAAGGUUCAGUAAAUAAUGAUACAUUUUGUAGUCCUCUGUAAGGAAUUUAGUUUUUGGACUGAUAUGAUAUGAGUUAAAAAAUUUCUUGAGGUGUUCUGAUGUUGGUUUGGUUUGGUUUUAGGCUGAGUUUUGUAUUCUUAAACCUGAUGAAAAAAAAGCAGGGCCUUGUUGCCUUUUGUGAACUAGGUUCUCGUAAGCUUCAGGAAAAUUACUUGUGCAUUGUUCUUGGGUGAAUCUCUGGUUGUUACUGGUGCCUGAAGGUUCAGUAAAUAAUGCUACAUUUUGUAGUCCUUUAUAAGGAAUUUAGUUUUUGGACUGAUAUGAUAUGAGUUAAAAACUUUCUUGAGGUGUUUUGAUGUUUGUUUGGUUUGGUUUUAGGCCGAGUUUUGUAUUCUUAAACCUGAUGAAAAAAAGCAGGUCCUUGUUGCCUUUUUUGAACU